rnacentral:rRNA from 1 species
CCUACGGGCGGGCAGCAGUGAGGAAUAUUGGUCAAUGGGCGCGAGCCUGAACCAGCCAAGUCGCGUGAGGGAUGACGGUCCUACGGAUUGUAAACCUCUUUUGCCGGGGAGCAAGCGUGCGUUCGUGAACGCGCGUCGAGAGUACCCGGAGAAAAAGCAUCGGCUAACUCCGUGCCAGCAGCCGCGGUAAUACGGAGGAUGCGAGCGUUAUCCGGAUUUAUUGGGUUUAAAGGGUGCGUAGGCGGUAUUUUAAGUUAGUGGUAAAACGUCGGGGCUUCACCUUGAUUGGCCAUUAAAACUGGAGUACUAGAGUACAGACGAGGUAGGCGGAAUAAGUUAAGUAGCGGUGAAAUGCUUAGAUAUAACUUAGAACCCCGAUAGCGAAGGCAGCUUACCAGACUGUUACUGACGCUGAAGCACGAGAGCGUGGGUAGCGAACAGGAUUAGAUACCCCUGUAGUC